AUUGAACGCUGGCGGCAUGCCUUACACAUGCAAGUCGAACGGCAGCACGGGAGCAAUCCUGGUGGCGAGUGGCGAACGGGUGAGUAAUAUAUCGGAACGUGCCCAGUCGUGGGGAUAACGUAGCGAAAGCUACGCUAAUACCGCAUACGAUCUAUGGAUGAAAGCGGGGGAUCGCAAGACCUCGCGCGAUUGGAGCGGCCGAUAUCAGAUUAGGUAGUUGGUGAGGUAAAGGCUCACCAAGCCGACGAUCUGUAGCUGGUCUGAGAGGACGACCAGCCACACUGGGACUGAGACACGGCCCAGACUCCUACGGAGGCAGCAGUGGGGAAUUUUGGACAAUGGGCGCAAGCCUGAUCCAGCAAUGCCGCGUGCAGGAUGAAGGCCUUCGGUUGUAACGU
rnacentral:rRNA from 1 species